UACGUAGGGCGCAAGCGUUAUCCGGAAUUAUUUGGCGUAAAGAGCUCGUAGGCGGUUUGUCGCGUCUGCCGUGAAAGUCCGGGGCUCAACUCCGGAUCUGCGGUGGGUACGGGCAGACUAGAGUGUUGCAGGGGAGACUGGAAUUCCUGGUGUAGCGGUGAAAUGCGCAGAUAUCAGGAGGAACACCGGUGGCGAAGGCGGGUCGCUGGGCCAUUCCUGACGCUGAGACGCGAAAGCUAGGGGAGCGAACAGG
rnacentral:rRNA from 1 species